rnacentral:rRNA from 1 species
AUUGAACGCUGGCGGCAUGCCUUACACAUGCAAGUCGAACGGCAGCACGGGUGCUUGCACCUGGUGGCGAGUGGCGAACGGGUGAGUAAUACAUCGGAACGUACCUUCUCGUGGGGGAUAACGCAGCGAAAGCUGUGCUAAUACCGCAUACGCCCUGAGGGGGAAAGCGGGGGAUCGGAAGACCUCGCGCGUUUAGAGCGGCCGAUGCCUGGUUAGCUUGUUGGUGGGGUAAAAGCCCACCAAGGCGACGAUCAGUAGCUGGUCUGAGAGGACGAUCAGCCACACUGGGACUGAGACACGGCCCAGACUCCUACGGGAGGCAGCAGUGGUGAAUUUUGGACAAUGGGGCAACCCUGAUCCAGCAAUGCCGCGUGAGUGAAGAAGGCCUUCGGGUUGUAAAGCUCUUUUGUCAGGGAAGAAACACCGGCUCUAACACAGUCCGGGAAUGACGGUACCUGAAGAAUAAGCACCGGCUAACUACGUGCCAGCCGCCGCGGUAA